UACGUAGGGGGCUAGCGUUGUCCGGAUUUAUUGGGCGUAAAGAGCGUGUAGGCGGCCAGGUAGGUCUGCUGUGAAAACUCGAGGCUCAACCUCGAGACGUCGGCGGAAACCAUCUGGCUAGAGUCCGGAAGAGGAGAGUGGAAUUCCUGGUGUAGCGGUGAAAUGCGUAGAUAUCCGGAGGAACACCAGGGGCGAAAGCGGCCGACUGGUCGAGUACUGACGCUGAGGCGCGACGGCGUGGGGAGCAAACCGG
rnacentral:rRNA from 1 species